rnacentral:rRNA from 1 species
AUUGAACGCUGGCGGCAGGCCUAACACAUGCAAGUCGAGCGGAUGAAGGGAGCUUGCUCCUGGAUUCAGCGGCGGACGGGUGAGUAAUGCCUAGGAAUCUGCCUGGUAGUGGGGGAUAACGUCCGGAAACGGGCGCUAAUACCGCAUACGUCCUGAGGGAGAAAGUGGGGGAUCUUCGGACCUCACGCUAUCAGAUGAGCCUAGGUCGGAUUAGCUAGUUGGUGGGGUAAAGGCCUACCAAGGCGACGAUCCGUAACUGGUCUGAGAGGAUGAUCAGUCACACUGGAACUGAGACACGGUCCAGACGCCUACGGGAGGGAGCAGUGGGGAAUAUUGGACAAUGGGCGAAAGCCUGAUACAGCCAUGCCGAGUGUGUGAAGAAGGUCUUCGGAUUGUAAAGCACUUUAAGUUGGGAGGAAGGGCAGUAAGUUAAUACCUUGCUGUUUUGACGUUACCAACAGAAUAAGCACCGGCUAACUUCGUG